UGAAUACGAGACGCUAAGGCGUCGAAGUAGUGUAUGUCAUACUUCCAAGAAAAGCUUGCACUGUCAUAGACAAAAAACGCCUGUACCAUAACCGACACAGGUGGGUAGGUAGAGUAUACUAAGGGGCGCGAGAUAACUCUCUCUAAGGAACUCGGCAAAAUAACUCCGUAACUUCGGGGGAAGGAGUGCCUUAUUCGUAAGGUUGCAAUAACAAGAUCCAAGCAACUGUUUAUCAAAAACACAGGUCUCCGCUAAGUCGUAAGACGAUGUAUGGGGGCUGACGCCUGCCCAGUGCCAGAAGGUUAAAGAAGUUGGCUAGCAAUUGCGAAGCUGAUAACUGAAGCCCUGGUGAACGGCGGCCGUAACUAUAACGGUCCUAAGGUAGCGAAAUUCCUUGUCGGGUAAGUUCCGACCCGCACGAAAGGCGUAAUGAUUUGGAUACUGUCUCGGAGAGGGGCUCGGUGAAAUAGACUUGUCUGUGAAGAUGCGGACUACCUGCACCAGGACAGAAAGACCCUAUGAAGCUUUACUGUAACUUGAAAUUGAAAUUGGACUUUAUUCGCGCAGCAUAGGUGGGAGGCGUUGAUUAUAAUCUUGCGGGAUUAUUGGAGCCAUCAGUGAGAUACCACUCUUGUAAUGUUAGAUUUCUAACUUUGAAUCAUUAUCUGGUCAAAGAACAGUUUCAGGCGGGCAGUUUGACUGGGGCGGUCGCCUCCUAAACGGUAACGGAGGCGUACAAAGGUUUCCUCUGAACGGUUAGAAAUCGUAUCUAGAGUGUAAAGGCAUAAGGAAGCUUGACUGUGAGACCUACAAGUCGAGCAGGGACGAAAGUCGGUCUUAGUGAUCUGACGGUACUGAGUGGAAAGGCCGUCACUCAACGGAUAAAAGUUACUCUAGGAUAACAGGCUGAUCUCCCCCAAGAGUUCACAUCGACGGGGAGGUUUGGCACCUCGAUGUCGGCUCAUCGCAUCCUGGGGCGGUAGUACGUCCCAAGGGUUGGGCUGUUCGCCCAUAAAAGCGGUACGCGAGCUGGGUUCAGAACGUCGUGAGACAGUUCGGUCCAUAUCCGGUGUAGGCGUUAGAAUAUUGAGAGGAGCCUUCUUUAGUACGAGAGGACCGAGAAGGACAUACCUCUGGUGUACCAGUUAUCGUGCCAACGGUAAACGCUGGGUAGCUAUGUAUGGAGUGGAUAACCGCUGAAAGCAUCUAAGUGGGAAGCCC
rnacentral:rRNA from 1 species